GCCCCCUUAGCUUAAGAGGAUAAAGUACAGGCCUCCGGAGCCUGGAAUGGGAGUUCGACUCUUCCAGGGGGCA
rnacentral:tRNA from 1 species